rnacentral:rRNA from 1 species
UGGGUAACCUACCCCGGGGACGGGGAUAGCCAUUCUAACGAGUGGGUAAUACCUGGCGAUGCAGCGAGGUCGCAUGAUUUUGCUGUGAAAUGAAUUUCGCCUCGGGAGGGGCUCACAUGGUAUUAGCUAGUUGGUAGGGUAACGGCCUACCAAGGCCAAGAUGCCUAGCAGGCGUGAGAGCGUGGCCUGCGCCACUGGCACUGAGACACUGGCCAG